UAAGGUAGUAAUAGUUAUAUUCUUGAAACUUAAAAAAUUUGGCGGUAUUUUAGUCUAUUCAGAGGAACCUGUUUUAUAAUCGAUAAUCCACGAUGGACCUUACUUAAAUUUGUUAUCAGUUUAUAUACCGUCGUUAUUAGAAUAUUUUAGUAGAAUUUUUAAUUUUCAUAAUUUUUAAAUAAAAAAAUAUAUCAGAUCAAGGUGUAGCUUAUAUUUAAGUAAAAAUGGGUUACAAUAAAUUUAUUUAAAUGGAUAUAAAUUUGAAAUUUUUUAUUAAAAGUGGAUUUGAUAGUAAAAUUAUAUAGAUAAAUAAU
rnacentral:rRNA from 1 species